UUGCGUCUUCCAAUAAAAUAAAUAUUUCAUUAAAGUAAUUCUAUGAUAGUUUUCAGCAUCACAACUUAAGUAAAUGUAUUUCGUUUAUAAUAAAUAUGUUAUUAAACAAGUUGAUUCAUUUUCAUUCUCAAACAAAAAUAAAUCUUAUAUUUACACAAUUCGAUAAAAUUUUAUCUAACAAUUUGCACUUCUUUGAUACUAUGACGACUAUUCUGUCAUCUGGCGACAAGUUUAUCAAGCGACAAUAAUUUGACAAUAGUAGAACGUACACCGAGACAUGGUACAGAAUGUAACAGAAGGAAAAUUAUCGUCCUGACGCCAAUUCCGAUCCUGACAAAGCUUUGUUGGCGACGUCAGUAUAUUCGGGCAUCUGUAAGCUUAAGACACUUCCGGGACAAGGGUAACGACUGUUCCCGUAUCUAUACGACACUAGGUAAAUGUUCGUUGUACGAAUUGCCGCCUCAAGAAUGGAAUUCGUCAAAUCAACAUAACCUCUUUUUCUUGGACGAAGUGACAAAAUAUAUUGUCAAUUCCUUCUUUUAAAAUGUUCCACAAUAUGGCUAAACAGAAUUAUCCUUUUUGUAAAAACUUUAUAGUAUGAAGAAAAAUCUGACGUUUUAAUCAUAGAAGAUCGUCUUCCAGAAUCAUAUUUGAAAUAUUUUAAUAAACAAUAAAAAGCGAAUAAUCAAUCGAUAAUAAGAUAAGUAUAUAACAAUUUCCAAGAUAAAUUAUUGUUGAAUAUUCAAUUGUUCUAUAGCUAGAAGCAUCUUUGAUAAAGCAUCGAUAAAAUGUUGUGCUAGAUUUUUCAUUGAUUCUUUAUGCAUAAAGAAAUCAUAAGAUUUUUAGUUAUAAUUAAUCAAAAUAAAUAUUCAUUCUCUUACUUUCUUUCUAUUUUUUAUUUUCCUUUUUUAUUUUAAUCUCUUUUAAACGUAUUAAUAAAAUAGGAAUAAAUAUUUCUGGAUGUCGCGAAAGUCUCAACAGUUCAGUUUGAUUAUGAUCGAUUACGAUCGCAUACAAAUCAUUCUCGUGGGAAUCGUUUUAUAUCUCGCUCUCUCGAAGAACUGCUGCUGAUAUUUGAAUAAAAAAUUAAUGCGGAAGUCAAUGAUAAACAUCGAUUCAGAAAACAGUUAUAAACUUUAUAUUAUAUUACUCAAUCAAUUUUUCAUUGUAAUUAUCUAUAAUCAUCAACAAAUUAACAGUCGAACAUAUUGUUAUCUGUUCUUCUAUUCAACUUGAACGCCAUUUUGAACGCCAAAAAUAACUAUAUCGUUGGUUUUUUUCAAUUUGUUGUAAAUUGAAAAAAAAGAUAAAAUUGUCUGGGAAAUAUGAGUAGAGGAGAUGGAAAAAGAGAAGGAAAAAGAACAGAAUUAUCCAAUUUUUGUCAAUAUCCUCGUCUGAUAUUAUUCACAGAACUCUGAAAAGAUGAACCGAAUCAACAAUGAUAAAUUUGAAGCGUAACGCGAAUAGACAAAAACCGAAUGGAAACAAAAGCGCGCAAAUGCGAGAGGAAAAAAAAAUCACGAUUCUUCUCCAUCGAUUUCGGAACAUUUAAUUCAGAGAUGCAGUCGGAAAGAGUGAGGAGGAAGGUUAUUCAUGGGAGCGAGCGAAUUAAUGCGAAAAUUUAAUGCAGCUGUCACGUGUCCAGUCCGUUACUAAAUCUACGUAUAACGUCAUUAAAUCGGCGAAAUCGGCGCUGCCAUGACUCUAACACGCGUUUUGUUUCACCCCGUCCACACAGGCCGUAUUGUAACGUGUGACCCGUUUUGCACUCACUAAUUGUAAUAAUUUUCUGACUCCCGAGUGUGCCAUAAAAGCGUCGAAAGGACGCGGACAACCGUUCGAAUUACGAGGUUAUAUAGACGAAAAAUAUGAAUUUGCACCGAUAGCUCAAAAACUUACUGCGAACUUUUCCAUAAAUUACACAGAGGAGAUAUACUAAAAAGCAUAUAACAAAUAUACUCUCUGCGAUACCCAGAAUCUGGAGAAUACAAGUAUUAUAAUUUUAUGAAGAUUGGAAUUUUACGUGUUGCCCUUUAACACAACAAAGCAGAAGGGCGCUAAUUUCCGAUCACGUGGUCGAACAAUUCUCCCGAAGAAUAUUUUCGACCGGUCCUGAUGGGAGAAAGUCUGUUCCAUUGUUGGAACAGAAUUUUAAAGGUAUAAUGGAAUCUAUCGGUAGCUCGUUAUUAUCUCACCGAGGCGAAAUUCAAUCGAGCCACCCCUUCAUCUCUUGGUUCUCCCCUCUAUGCUCGAACUAUGACUUCGUCAAUAUUCUGACUAAUCUUCUUCGAUGGUUCGCCAAUUAAGCGAGAGAAAAUAUAUAAUUCCAUAUGGAACGGAAAACCACAAACUCGUUGUUUCCUCGCUCGAAAUUGUAAUUGUAAUAAUUCUACGCGCGGAUGCGUAAUACUCUCGAGGACCAACGCGUUCGAGUCGCGUAAUUAAAUUUGUGUUAAACAAUUUAAUUGCGUAAAAUUGGUGCACGACUCGAGAGGAUAGGAUGAUUGGGAAAAGAAUCGCAACUAAUUGCGAAUUGAUUAUAGCGAAGAAACAACGGAAGGAUGUAUAAACUGUGUACAACAACAAUCUCAAGGGGGAAAGAUAAUUCUCGAUAUAAUAAACUCAUAUGAUCUUUUAUUAAAUUUUUCAUAUAUAAUUUAUUAAUUUAUUAAUUUUCAUAUUAAUUUUUCAUUUCAAUUAAUCGCUAAUUUAAAUUUUAGGCGGCAAGGGGAGGACCUGUUCAUCGAUCAGCCUAUCGUUACUUUUCAAAACCAAAACUUUCGACGAUUUAUUACGAUCGAUCAAGCCUUGGAAAUCUUCGAGGAAUCAUCUAGCUACCACUGGAAAGUCGUCUGAAAAAUGUAUCCCCUCUCCUCGAUACAGUCCAUAUGCAAACGACGAUGCAGAAUCUGUUCUAUCCAAACAGCUGCACUCAUUGAAACUAUAUACACCCACGUAAAUGUAUGUAUGCAUACAUACAGAAUCCCAGAGGUGCACGGGAAUCGGUUUACCCCGGCCGACUCUCUUAUUCCGAGAAGGGAAAGGCAAAACACCGUGAGAGGAUACAUAUGUUCGGCGCAAGCGGCCGGUAAUCGAUCAUGGAAAUCCCGUAAAAAGUGCCAGGGAUGUCUGGCCCAUCGGUCUCCGAGUGUCAAACGAGAAUUAAUAGCUCGCCAGAGUAAUGUACAAUGUGUACUAGAAGACCGGUUGGUAUGACGAUGAAUAAAGAUGAGUCCGAUGGGCGAAUCGAUGUUGAAGAAACAAAGAAGAGGAAAAAUGGAGGGAUAUAAGGGAGAAGAAAGACGAGAGGAACAGGCGGCAUAGGAGGAAUAGUCCCCCUUUUUUCUCUCGCUCUCUGUGUUUUGCAGAUCGUAGUAAUAGACGCGAAAGACGGAAAUAAACGCUUUGACGAGCGGUAGCGGCUCGUCUCCCUCUGUUAAAAAGAUUAAUGAGGAGAGAUCGUUUCCGGGCGGACUUCAAUUUUAUUAAAGGAGGUUCAAAGGGAAUCCUUCGCGAUACAGUGUAUCCCUUCGUCCUUCCCCCGCCAGCAGAUUUAAAGUGGAACGGAGAUGGAGAAAAAGGAGAGGGAAUCGGCACGGUAAAGAAAAUCCCCGGAAAUCAAUUUCAUUGGAUUCUCAUGAAACUGGAUUGCAAGGAAAUACUGCUGUACAGUCGAGAACAACAGGCAAGGAAAUUUCGGAAUAUAUGAAACACACUGAGAGAAAAACCUUCUCGACGAUGAAAAAUUAAUAAAUAACAGAGAAAUCACAAAUAGUGGUUCACGACAAUGUCGAUCGAAGCUCGACGCUUCCUCUCCACGAAUCGUCUCCAUUUUGAGGCAUCGUGAAGCACGCCAAUCGGUGGAGAAACUUAAGGAUAGACCCCCCCCUCGAUACAGAGAAAGAGCGAUAAAUGUGCCUGUGGCGGUGGAGCGUGAAGUUCCUAACAAUUCCCAUUUUAUGCUCUCCAGAUUCCGCUAUGUCGCCGUUUCUUUCCCGCCCAGACACCCUGUAUACGUAAUUCCCGUAGCCGCGAUAGCUCCUUUGUCCUAUUCGCGUAUCCUGGCUACAAAGCGGGCUACCUUUCGCUUUGAUCGUGACGUAUCCUGCAGUUCGGCAACUUCUCCAGCCUUCGUCUUCCUCCUCUUCCCUUCUUUUCUUUUUUGCCAACUGGAAGGUUGCUUUGGAUGAGUUUUAGUUUUCUGUUGAUAAUGCCUUCCAAGCGAGUAUUUUUUCAUCGAGUAUUUUAUACAUAUUACUAUGGAGAUAAAAGUAUAUAGGUUUUAGUCAGAUAUGAAGACAUUUUUAUCGACAAAGAAGCAAGAUACAGCAAGAAAUGCGAGAAACGUCUGGAUGAGAUCAGAAUUAAUAUACCUGAUCCUGUUUGGAAAACUUUCUAGUCCUUUUUAAGAACAUCCGAGCAUCCGGUGAUUGGAAGGGCGCGCGAUCCUCAACAUCCGCAACGAUGCAUCCGGUUUCGUGUCUAUUAUACAAAGCUGUCUCGAAAACUUGAGGAGAAAAAAAAUGUAAAAAUAAUAGAGAAAAGAAAGAAAGAAAAGAAAGAGGGAGGGGAAAAGGGAACACAAAGUUUCCAUCACGCAAGUCUACUCGCUUGCUCACUCGCUCAUUCGCACGCCUCUGCGAAAAGAUUUACGCCUGGUCGUCUGUAAUUUAAUAGAGGAUACUUUGCCGGAGUUCCUUCGAGAGUUACCUGUUCUGUUCGCGCGGCCCGCGGAACGUGAGUUGACUUUGUGUCUCGGCAUAUCGCAGGGAAAG